UAAAGAAUAGUAAAAAAAGUGAACAGCACAUUCCUGGGCCCAGUUUAUGGCGGGGCCCCUCUCUGACCACAACAGUGGACAAAGG